rnacentral:tRNA from 1 species
GUGUCCGUACAGCAGAUGGCGGCCGACGAUCCUGCCGUGAUGAAGCGUCUGGUGUUCGAUUCACCCGGGCACA